rnacentral:rRNA from 1 species
UACGGAGGGAGCUAGCGUUGUUCGGAAUUACUGGGCGUAAAGCGCGCGUAGGCGGCUUUGUAAGUUAGAGGUGAAAGCCCGGAGCUCAACUCCGGAACUGCCUUUAAAACUGCAUCGCUUGAAUCCAGGAGAGGUGAGUGGAAUUCCGAGUGUAGAGGUGAAAUUCGUAGAUAUUCGGAAGAACACCAGUGGCGAAGGCGGCUCACUGGACUGGUAUUGACGCUGAGGUGCGAAAGCGUGGGGAGCAGACAGG